ensembl:lncRNA LINC01643 long intergenic non-protein coding RNA 1643
AGAAACAGGCAGCCUGACUAGAGAACAAACUACCAAUUAACGAGCGAGGAAACAGGGCCAGAGAAUUGGAACAAAAUACAAGGCUGCCUCUGAAAGGAAUAUCUUUGUGCUGAUGUGUCCAUCAAGAGAACAUACACAGAAGUGACACUUGCCAGUAAUUUGCAAGCAGAUGGAACUUCAAUAUGGCAAUAGAGAAAGAAUCAAUUAGACCAGAGUCUCCUCAGGAAGACUUUCUAUAGAUAUCUGGUGAGCAUCUGCUAGAUGCCAGGGUUGGGGAGAGUCAAGUUGAAGCAAGCAUGAACCCUCAAGGACCUACCAUUUCAAGGCAAGAAAUAGAUACAAAUACAGCGUAAUUAUCUCUCCAAUUAAAGAGCAACCAAGGGACAACUGAACUGGAGGUUCUGCAGAAUUACAACUAAGCACGCAGCCGAGGAAUCUACUCAGCUUUGAUCUCUUAUCGCUCUGCACACACAGCCCUUUCUCUGUAAGGCUAGCUGCUCUCAGCAUCACUGUGUCUAAUCAAACGUGUCACACCUCCACUGAGAAAAUAUUUACUGGAUAGCUACUAGACAUAAGGAUGCAGAAAUGAAUUAGAAAAAUUCCUCGCCCUUGUUCAAAGCUAUGCUGGCUCUUAGAACAUCUGAGCCCCCACUGUUUCAUCUUUAGAGGAUCCCAGCUGCUGGGGUGUGAGGCCAGUGCUGGAGCCAGCAGUCUCUGACCCAGAAGGGACCUGAGGUGCUAAAGAAAAUGUCACAGAUGGAGUCCAAAAACAAAAUAACGGCCUGCUCCAUUCUGAUUCAAGUUCUCAUUUGCCUGUGCCCUGCUUUCCCAAGAGCCUAGUGACUGAUUGCAGACCCUUGAUUUCUGUGAGCUUAGACUAAUAGGUAUUGCAGGCAUACAUUCUGGGCUGAAGAUAACCAGAAAGCCAGCAACCUGAUGGGAGGAACAUUCAUUGCACAAGCUGAGAGUGAAAUGAGCUUCUACAUCAGGUCAUAAGACCCUAAUUCCAGAGGGCCCUACCCUAUAACCAGAAGGAAGAACUAUUGCACAGAGAAUCUAAGAAGAAUCUAGACAGACAGCCCUUGCUGGAUUUCUCCACUCUGUUAGCAUUCGAUCAUUUGCCUUUUGUCCAGUCAUAUUUCUGCAUGGCUGUCCAUACUUUGUUGAACCUAAGCACAAAAUGGAAAGUUUUCCCUGUAUCUUUGGGUCGUCAUUCUGAAGGCUCCCAUGUUAUGUAAAACUAUGAUCAAAUAAAUAUGCAUGCCUUUUCUCCUAUAA